GCCUUAAAAAAACAAGUAAACACCAAGCAUCAGUAACACUGCACAAUAUUGGAGCAGCAAAUAUCAAACAGGCUGCACUGAUCUAUAGAUUUUGUGUUCAAUAGUAAUAUAGAGGAUUAACAGUUGGUGGGAUGAACCAGUGACUGAAGGUGUUUCUCAGCUUCCACAGGAAGUCCUUCCUCAUCAGUUUUCGGUUAGGCAGACAUUGACAGAUUUCCGCAUGUGUCGUUCCCGGUUCUUUACUCUGAAAACGGAUAAGGAGCAUAGUAAACGUAGGCGGGGAAAUGUGAGGGGCGGUCGAACGGGAUGUGUUUAUUUGUUUCAUGCAGGGCAGCACCUUACCUGGCUAAGGUAACCUCUGGGUUCGAAUUGCUGAAGAGACAAUGCAUGGACUGAUUCCUAGCAGGAUUGCUAGCUCUACAGUCAGAUGUACCAUGUCCCCCUUCCCAGAAAGGACAAAUGGACACCUAAAACACAGACAACCUCAUUACUUCAAGGCCUGUAAUGCUUUGGUUGAUGAAGUGGUGACAUGAUCCAUGGCCCCUUAAUUGUAUUUCAAGACACCAGAACAGCUUCAAGGCGCCUUGGCACAUAUUCUGCAAGAAAUCUACUGGAGGGAUGGAACACCAUUCAUUCAACAGAUAUGCUAAAGAGCAUGAUAGGAUGUUAAUUACUUAAUUGUAUCAUUCAGUACACCUGUAUGGUAGGGUUGCAGUACAUGAACCCUUCAUUUCUUUAGGUUUUCCCUUUAAUUUGUCCUCUGUAUGUACUAAGCAGGCUAUGUGCCUCUACAUUCAAUACCUCUUAUGUGGCCUUAUAACAAUUUGAUGACUACUACAGGACUAGGUGCUCUACUUAAUCAUACAUGGGGCAUUAUAAUAAACCUUUUCAGCCCAACUCAUGGUCUUACUGUUGAUUUUCUCUUCCAUCUAAAACUUGUAAUUGUAAUUGUCUGAAAAGGCCCAAUAAGUAAAAGCCUUUCAGGAUCUCGUGAAUUUACUGUGUAUGUGAGCUUGUUAGAUUCAAGGCAUGUUGAUACAGAAUAUUAGUGGUUUGCCCUGUAACUCUGCAUACAUAGAAUGCAAGUUACUAUCCAUCAAAUACAAAUGAAUUUCUAGUAGCUUAGAAGUACAUGGCUUUGUGUAUUUCAGAGACAAAAACAUCAACCCACAUUGGAUAGCCUUAGUUAGAUGGCCAGAUAAUAUGCUGGUAACGCAUCCAAUGCAACCUACAGAAUUGACUUGUACACAAUGUCCAGUGAAGAUUAUCUGAAUGACUGCGUUAACCACACUAUGUAUACUUCAAUGAAAUAAACACAAUGUACACUAGGUAGUUAGUUACCC
ensembl:lncRNA